rnacentral:rRNA from 1 species
AUUGAACGCUGGCGGCAGGCCUAACACAUGCAAGUCGAACGAGUGGCGGACGGGUGAGUACUGUCUGGGAAACUGCCUGAUGGAGGGGGAUAACUACUGGAAACGGUAGCUAAUACCGCAUACCAUCGGAUGUGCCCAGCUGGGAUUAACUAGUAGGUGGGGUAAAGGCUCACGUAGGCGACGAUCCCUCGCUGGUCUGAGAGGAUGACCAGCCACACUGGAACUGAGACACGGACCAGGCUCCUACGGGAGACAGCAGUGGGGAAUAUUGCACAAUGGGCGCAAGCCUGAUGCAGACAGGCCGCAUGUAUGAAGAAGGCCUUCGGGUUGUGAAGUGCUUUCAGCGGGGAGGCGUUACCCGCAGAAGAAGCACCGGCUAACUCCGUGCCAGCAGCCGCGGUAAUAC